AUGCAUCGGAGAAAGAACUCCAUCAGAAUGCCAACUUUAGGUAUAAAAGUAAGAGUUGGAUGAAGACUAGUUGCAAGCUCAACAUGUUAUUGGUACUUUAGAAGAAACCUCUACAUAUUUGUCUUAGUUUAGGAUAGUAGUAAUAUUUAGUACUAUAUUUCAGUUACAUUUCCUUCGUCAUUUGACUUGUUUUAGUUUUAUUUGCCCUGUAAGGAGAUAUUACCUAGGUACAAUUUUAGUUUUCUUAAUUAUUUGAUUGUGGGUGAAUUUUAUCAUUA